rnacentral:rRNA from 1 species
UGUCUUGUUUGUCACUAGAAAGUCUUAGGCUUCUAGGGAGGUUGGUUUUGUCCGCAAGAUUAACUAUUUCCGCCUGACAGGUAGCAUGCACACAAAUUACCCAAUCCUGACAUGGGGAGGUAGUGACAAUAAAUAACAAUAAUGGGCUCAUCGAGUCUGGUAAUUGGAAUGAGUACAAUGUAAAUCCCUUAACGAGGAUCCAUUGGAGGGAAAGUCUGGUGCCAGCAACCACGGUAAUUCUAGCUACAAUAGUGUAUAUUUAAGUUGUUGUAGUUAAAAAUCUCGUAGUUGGAUCUUGGGUCGUAAAGGUCGGUCCACCUGCUCUUUGUGCACCUGCCCUUCCAUCCCUUUUAUUGGCAGCGUGUUCCUGACCUUAAUUGGCUAGGUCGCAGCUCUGAUUCUAUUACUUUGAAAAAAUUAGAGUGCUCAAAGCAAGCUUAUGCUCUAAAAACAUUAGCAUGGAAUAACGUGAUAGGAGUCUCAUCCUAUUGUGUUGGCCUUCGGGAUCGGAGUAAUGAUUAAUAGGGACUAUCGGGGGCAUUCGUAUUUCAUUGUCAGAGGUGAAAUUCUUGGAUUUAUGAAAGACAUACCACUGCGAAAGCAUUUGCCAAGGAUGUUUUCACUAAUCAAGAACGAAAUUUGGGGGCUCGAAGAUGAUCAGAUAUUGUCCUAGUCUCAACCAUAAAUGAUGCUCACUAGGGAUUGGUGGAUGUUGCUCUCUAAGGACUCCACUAGCAUCUUUUGUGAAAUCGGAGUGUUUGGUUUCUCGGGGAAGUAUGGUCGCAAGGCUGAAACUUAAAGGAAUUGAUAGAAGGGCACCACUAGGAGUGGAGCCUAUGGCUUAAUUUUAAUCAACACGGGGAAACUUACCAGGUCCAGACAUAGUAAGGAUUGAUAGAUUCAGAGCUCUUUCUUGAUUCUAUGGGUGGAGGUGCAUGGCUGUUCUUAGUUGGUGGAGUGAUUUGUCUAGUUAAUUCUGAUAACGAAUGAGACCGCAGCCUACUAACUAGCUACGUAGAGGUUCCCCUUCAAAACCAGCUUCUUAGAGGGACUAUGGCCAUUUGGGCCAUGGAAGUUUGAGGCAAUAACAGGUCUGUGAUGCCCUUAGAUGUUCUGGGCCGAACGUGCGCUACACUGAUGCAGCCAAUGAGUUUUUCUUCCUGGUUCGAGAGGAUCAGGAAAUCUUCUCAAAUUGCAUCAUGAUGGGGAUAGAACAUUGCAAUUAUUGGUCUUCAAUGAGGAAUUCCUAGUAAGCGCAUGUCAUCAACUCAUGUUGACUAUGUCCUUACCCUUUGUACACACUACCCGUUGCUCCUACCGAUUGAAUGAUCUAGUGAAGUGUUCGGAUUGCGUCAACAAUGGUGGUUUGCCACCGUCAACGUUGUGAGAAGUUCAUUGAACCUUAUCAUUUAGAGGAAGGAGAAGUCGUAACAAAGUUACCGUAGGUGAACCUGCGAUAG